ensembl:lincRNA
CAUUUCACAGGGAGUAAACAUUCAUAGCAGUCUAUCCAAGUACAGCUUCAUUGCUGCUGAAAAAUGAGUAAUAGUUCCAGCCCCUGGCUGGCAUGUGCUUCUCAGAUGCUUCAUCAGUUCAGCUGGUAGCAUCACUAGGUGCUUUCUGCCGUCCAGAAACCAAACAGAAUGUCCUUUCCUCAUUUCCUCUUCUCCAUAAAGAACUGACUGGUUUAACUAAUGAAACAAGGAAGGUCUCACAUCCUUGGCGUUCUCUUUCCCAUAGGGACUCUUCAGAAGAGCUUCCAUCCCUGUCAUAGUGUUCACCUUGAAACAGCAUGAUGGGAAACGCUCAUAGAGGCCCUAAGUAAGCCCAAGUCUGACUCUUAACAAUAGAAGACUGUUAAAAACAGGUGUGUGGUUUAAGCCGCUAACUUUAUUAUAAUUUAUUUAUUUUUUUGUAACAGCUCACUAAGCAAUUACUUACGCAUCCAUUUUCCCAAUAAAACAAUUAGAAUCCCCUUCUGAGUCAAAGAUAUAAGCAUGCGUAACAAUUUCCUUUCCCUGUGCCUUCCUGCUUUGCAUGCUGCCUAAGUUGAUGGACUGGAUCUUAUAAGAAGCUCUUACUUUUUGGUCUACGGUGGUAGGCACAGUAGUGUUCUCCAUAAUCCUCGGGCAGAUUUAAUAUUUAGUUGUCUAUUGGCAGGAACUGCAAGGUCCAAAUCAUUUAUUAUGGUAUGUUUAAGAAUAUUUCUAUAUUAACAAGUUCUUUUGACAUAAGCAUUAAUGGAGAGCAUAAUUCAGUCUCAAGGUACCUUAAGGAACAUUUAUCCUGAACGGCUUUGCCAAGGCCUGGGAGCGGGUGAUGAACAUUUUCCUCUGACAAUGCAUGUAGCCCAGGACUGUUACGACAGACAAAGGAAGAAAGGGAUGCCAGGAGAAAGAGAUAUCAACUUCUUCAAUUGUUGCUAGGCAGUUUUCCCAUCUACGAUGCCCUUUUUAUUAAUGUAUAUUUUAUUCAUCCUCUUUUUUCUUCUUUGAGUGUUAAAGAGGAGUAAGAAAUUGGUUUAAUCAUUUUCUGAAAAAUCAGCUAAAUUCUAAUGUUGUUUGAUUACAUCCAGUUGCAAAAAUGUCAAGUGCAUUUCCAUUUAGAGUGCUUGCUUAAACAGCCGUGCAAGUGGGUGACACCCUAAAACGAGCCUACACCACCGAGCAAGUUCUGCAUUCUUUUCGACACACACUUGCAUUAAUCCACUCCCUUAUUCUCGAAAGUAAUGCAUUUUUCCAGCACAUCAUUCCUUAAAUGAGGGCGAUCCAUCAUCACGGGAGAUUCACCAGUGAGGCCCAUUAAUAAAAACAGACAGCUUCAAUGGUGUUUCCUUUGGGAAGGCUUGUUCUUUGGGAAAGCAAUGUUUGGUUGUUUGUGCCAAAAAUCCAACCCAGAUGUUUCCACAAGUUCUCCUUCCCCUGGUGAGAUAUUUCCCUGGACUGUGAGGCAUGGCAGGUCUCAUUCCAGGCUUCAUUAGGAAGGAGGCUGUUCAUCUUAAAAUGAUCCACUCAACAUAACUGAAUGGAACUGUUCUUCCCUCCCCUAAACACCGAGGGAUUAAAAAUUAUUAUAUUAACUGUAGCAGAUAUCCUCUUCUCUGAUCAGGCCAGCACCAUGAUGUGAUUAAAACCCACGCAUACAUUACAUAUAUUCAAACAGCUGUCUGAUUGGUAUCAGCAUGGUUCAAAUGUAGAAAGUAGUAAAGUUGCAAACUUUAGCAAUUGCUCAUCAAAUUCUAAAAAUACCUGCAAAGGGGGCUGGAGACAAUGGUUAAGAGCAUUUGAUACUCUUCAGGAGACCAAAAUUUCAAUUUCUAGCACUGAUACCACAUGGAUCAUGACUGUCUGUGGCUCCAGCUCCAGGGGAUCCAAUACAUUUUUCUAGACUGUGGGCACUUGUACUCACACAUGUAUACCACGUACACACACACACACACACACACACACACACACACAUAUCUUGGUAUACAUAAUUUAAAAUAAAUAUUAAAAAUACAACUGGAAUUGUUACAUUGACCAAGUCUGCACUAUUGAGAUUACAAAAGAAAUGAAUACUCUGUUUUCAGUAUUUAUUGAAAAUUAGCCAAGUGGUGUUUCAUUGAAUGGAAUUAUAUGACACAAUUUUUCUCCAAAUACACCCAUGUUUUCAUACCUAGUUAUGUAGCUUUGCCAACACAUAUAGCAUUAUUUCUUGUUCAUACUUUAGUCACUAAAUCUAGGUAUUAUGUUUCAGAAGCAGGUUUCCACAUAGUAAACUCUCCAUCAGAACAUUUUGAAAUAAAUGAAAAGUUGUAUUUAUCUGUUUCAUGCUUGUUUAACCUAUAAAAUGAUUGAAAUGAUCAUAGCUUACACUGAAAAACAAAAUAAUAUUGGAUAUAAAAAUGUCAAUUAUAAAUU